rnacentral:rRNA from 1 species
UAGAGUUUGAUCCUGGCUCAGAUUGAACGCUGGCGGCAUGCCUAACACAUGCAAGUCGGACGGCAGCACAGCAGAGCUUGCCCUGUGGGUGGCGAGUGGCGGACGGGUGAGUAAUGCAUCGGGACCUACCUGAACGUGGGGGAUAACGUAGGGAAACUUACGCUAAUACCGCAUACGUCCUACGGGAGAAAGCGGGGGACCUUCGGGCCUCGCGCGGUCAGACGGACCGAUGUUCGAUUAGCUAGUUGGUAAGGUAAUGGCUUACCAAGGCGACGAUCGAUAGCUGGUCUGAGAGGAUGAUCAACCACACUGGAACUGAGACACGGUCCAGACUCCUACGGGAGGCAGCAGUGGGGAAUAUUGGACAAUGGGCGCAAGCCUGAUCCAGCAAUGCCGCGUGUGUGAAGAAGGCCUACGGGUUGUAAAGCACUUUUAUCGGGAACGAAAUACCAUUGGUUAAUAACCGGUGGGGCUGACGGUACCCGAGGAAUAAGCACCGGCUAACUUCGUGCCAGCAGCCGCGGUAAUACA